AGGCCUUAUACAUGCAAGUCGAGGGGCAGCAUAGAUUGCUUGCAAUCUGAUGGCGACCGGCGAACGGGUGCGUAACGCGUAUGCAACUUACCUUUUACUAGGAGAUAGCCAAGAGAAAUUUUGAUUAAUAUCCUAUACAAUUAUUUUUUCGCAUGAAUUAAUAAUAAAAGCUCAGGCGGUAAAAGAUGGGCAUGCGUCCUAUUAGCUAGUAGGUGAGGUAAAGGCUCACCUAAGCAACGAUAGGUAGGGGUCCUGAGAGGGAGAUCCCCCACACUGGUACUGAGACACGGACCAGACUUCUACGGAAGGCAGCAGUAAGGAAUAUUGGACAAUGGAGGCAACUCUGAUCCAGCCAUGCCGCGUGCAGGAAGACGGCCUUAUGGGUUGUAAACUGCUUUUAUACAGGAAGAAACCUGCUCACGUGUGAGCAGCUGACGGUACUGUAAGAAUAAGGAUCGGCUAACUCCGUGCCAGCAGCCGCGGUAAUACGGAGGAUCCAAGCGUUAUCCGGAAUUAUUGGGUUUAAAGGGUCCGCAGGCUGUUUGUUAAGUCAGAGGUGAAAUCCUACCGCUCAACGGUAGAACUGCCUUUGAUACUGACAAACUUGAGUUAUUGUGAAGUAAUUAGAAUGUGUAGUGUAGCGGUGAAAUGCAUAGAUAUUACACAGAAUACCGAUUGCGAAAGCAGAUUACUAACAAUAUACUGACGCUGAGGGACGAAAGCGUAGGUAGCGAACAGGAUUAGAUACCCUGGUAGUCUACGCCGUAAACGAUGGUCACUAGCUGUUCGAUAUACAUUGGUAUGUUGAGUGGCUAAGCGAAAGUGAUAAGUGACCCACCUGGG
rnacentral:rRNA from 1 species